rnacentral:rRNA from 1 species
GCCCAAGAGAUCGGGAUAACACCUGGAAACAGAUGCUAAUACCGGAUAACAACAGAUGAUGCCUAUCAACUGUUUAAAAGAUGGUUCUGCUAUCACUCUUGGAUGGACCUGCGGUGCAUUAGCUAGUUGGUAGGGUAACGGCCUACCAAGGCGAUGAUGCAUAGCCGAGUUGAGAGACUGAUCGGCCACAUUGGGACUGAUACACGGCCCAAACUCCUACGGGAGGCAGCAGCU